CUACGGGUUGCUGCAGUGGGGAAUAUUGCACAAUGGGCGCAAGCCUGAUGCAGCCAUGCCGCGUGUAUGAAGAAGGCCUUCGGGUUGUAAAGUACUUUCAGCGGGGAGGAAGGGAGUAAAGUUAAUACCUUUGCUCAUUGACGUUACCCGCAGAAGAAGCACCGGCGAACUCCGUGCCAGCAGCCGCGGUAAUACGGAGGGUGCAAGCGUUAAUCGGAAUUACUGGGCGUAAAGCGCACGCAGGCGGUUUGUUAAGUCAGAUGUGAAAUCCCCGGGCUCAACCUGGGAACUGCAUCUGAUGCUGGCAAGCUUGAGUCUCGUAGAGGGGGGUAGAAUUCCAGGUGUAGCGGUGAAAUGCGUAGAGAUCUGGAGGAAUACCGGUGGCGAAGGCGGCCCCCUGGACGAAGACUGACGCUCAGGUGCGAAAGCGUGGGGAGCAAACAGGAUUAGAUACCCCCGUAGUC
rnacentral:rRNA from 1 species